UACGGAGGGUGCAAGCGUUUAUCCGGAUUCACUGGGUUUAAAGGGUGCGUAGGAGGGCAGGUAAGUCAGUGGUGAAAUCUCCGAGCUUAACUUGGAAACUGCCAUUGAUACUAUCUGUCUUGAAUAUUGUGGAGGUGAGCGGAAUAUGUCAUGUAGCGGUGAAAUGCUUAGAUAUGACAUAGAAACACCAAAUUGCGAAGGCAGCUCGCUAACACAAAUAUUGACUCUGAGGCACGAAAAGCGUGGGGGAUCAAAACAGG
rnacentral:rRNA from 1 species